rnacentral:tRNA from 1 species
GCCGGGAUGACGGAGUGGUUAACGUGCACGCCUGGAAAGCGUGUGUCCGAAAGGACUCCUGAGUUCGAAUCUCAGUCCCGGCG